AGAUGAGCCUAGGUCGGAUUAGCUAGUUGGUGAGGUAAUGGCUCACCAAGGCGACGAUCCGUAACUGGUCUGAGAGGAUGAUCAGUCACACUGGAACGGAGACACGGUCCAGACUCCUACGGGAGGCAGCAGUGGGGAAUAUUGGACAAUGGGCGAAAGCCUGAUCCAAACAGGCCGCGUGUGUGAAGAAGGUCUUCGGAUGUAAAGCAAUUGGAGUGGGAGGAAGGGCAGUUACCUAAUACGUGAUGUUUGACG
rnacentral:rRNA from 1 species